GUUUGAUCCUGGCUCAGAACGAACGCUGGCGGCAUGCCUAAUACAUGCAAGUCGAACGAGAUCUUCGGAUCUAGUGGCGCACGGGUGCGUAACGCGUGGGAAUCUACCCUUGGGUUCGGAAUAACAGUUAGAAAUGACUGCUAAUACCGGAUGAUGACGUAAGUCCAAAGAUUUAUCGCCCAAGGAUGAGCCCGCGUAAGAUUAGCUAGUUGGUGAGGUAAAGGCUCACCAAGGCUACGAUCUUUAGCUGGUCUGAGAGGAUGAUCAGCCACACUGGGACUGAGACACGGCCCAGACUCCUACGGGAGGCAGCAGUAGGGAAUAUUGGACAAUGGGCGAAAGCCUGAUCCAGCAAUGCCGCGUGAGUGAUGAAGGCCUUAGGGUUGUAAAGCUCUUUUACCCGAGAUGAUAAUGACAGUAUCGGGAGAAUAAGCUCCGGCUAACUCCGUG
rnacentral:rRNA from 1 species